rnacentral:piRNA from 2 species
UGAACAGGAGGUGAACUGUGUGGAUUGC